rnacentral:sRNA from 1 species
UGUAACAACCCAGCACCUCGCAACGGAGGAAAAAACUGUACAGGCAGAAGCUCUGUGAUUAGGAGACACCCAUUGUGUGAAAGUUGUCUUCACAUCGAAGACCGUAGUAACACUACUUUAUUUGUACCUGUCGAAGAGGAUAAAUUAU